rnacentral:lncRNA from 1 species
CUGGUGAAAAUGUAUAUGUGCUUCAAGGAGAGUAGUAAACUUAAGGUGUUUUCUUUGGGAAGAAAGCGAAGAGGGGAAGGCUGGAUGGAGGUGGAUUGAAGAUUGUCAAAGAAUGGGGCCUUGGUCGUGGAUUUGUAAUUGAGAUGAGGGCUGGAUACUUUGCCAUACAUGAGAAGGAUCUAUAACUUAGUGUUAUCUUAUUUGAAAUGGCUUAUUGGUUAACAUUAUUUUAGAACAAAUUGAAAAUGUUGUGUAUGUUUCAGUCUAAUGAUCAGGCUUUGAUUGUGUUUUUGCAUUUGCAUUGCUUUGGAUUGCUUAGUGAUGAGUUUGUUUCGCUCAUGAAUUUUGCACAAUUUUAGCUUGAUUAUUUGCUAGAUCUUGUGAGUAUAGAACGUUUUUGAUGUGUUUGUUAAUGUUGUUUUGAAAAUUAGGAAAGACGAUGCAAAAAGAGGAACUAAAGCGGACGAAGAGAUCAAAAAUAAGGAAAUUGGGACAGAAAGACAGCGCUUAGGUGCUGCAUUUGUAGCGCCUAGGCACUACGAAACUUAAAAAAAAUGAAACUUGAACCUGAGAGAUAGCGCCUAGGCGCUAUCAUCAGUUCCUGGGCGUUGCAGACAUAGUGCUUAAAUUGAUGCAGCGCUUAGGCACUACGCCGGGGUUAUCUAGGGCGCAUUUUUGGGCCGUUUUGAAAACCCUACUCUCUACACAAACAGAGGAGGUACUUAUAAAUGCAUCUUUCUCACACUGUUGAGGGGUUCUUCACACAUUGGGAGACAAGACAACAAAGAGGGAGAUUCAAAAGAGAAAUUCAAGGAGAAUAACACCAAGCAAUUGAAGAUUUGAAGCAUUGAUUGGAAGGGGAAGGGGAAGGAGAUUUUGGUGCAA